AUGUCUCAGUACAAGCCAAAUUAAGGUGAAACCGCGAAAGGCUCAUUMAAUNNGUUAUGGUUCCUUAGAUCGUACCCACACUUACUUGGAUAACUGUGGUAAUUCUAGAGCUAAUACAUGCAAACAGAGCUCCGACCGGAGACGGAAGGAGCGCUUUUAUUAGAUCAAAACCAAUCGGUGGCGGGUUCGCUCGUCAUCGUAUAACUUGGUGACUCUGAAUAACUUUAAGCUGAUCGCACGGUCUAGCACCGGCGACGCAUCUUUCAAAUGUCUGCCUUAUCAACUGUCGAUGGUAGGUUCUGCGCCUACCAUGGUCGUAACGGGUAACGGGGAAUCAGGGUUCGAUUCCGGAGAGGGAGCCUGAGAAACGGCUACCACAUCCAAGGAAGGCAGCAGGCGCGCAAAUUACCCACUCCCGGCACGGGGAGGUAGUGACGAAAAAUAACGAUACGGGACUCAUCCGAGGCCCCGUAAUCGGAAUGAGUACACUCUAAACCCUUUAACGAGGAUCAAUUGGAGGGCAAGUCUGGUGCCAGCAGCCGCGGUAAUUCCAGCUCCAAUAGCGUAUAUUAAAGUUGUUGCGGUUAAAAAGCUCGUAGUCGAAUUUGUGUCCCGCGCCGCCGGUUCAUCGUCCGCGGUGUUAACUGGCGUGCCGCGGGACGUCCUGCCGGUGGACUUAGCUCUUCUCUGGGCGGUCCAACUCAAUCCCGCCGCGGUGCUCUUCACUGAGUGUCGAGGUGGGCCGGCACGUUUACUUUGAACAAAUUAGAGUGCUUAAAGCAGGCUAAAACUUCGCCUGAAUACUGUGUGCAUGGAAUAAUGGAAUAGGACCUCGGUUCUAUUUUGUUGGUUUUCGGAACCCCGAGGUAAUGAUUAAUAGGAACGGAUGGGGGCAUUCGUAUUGCGA
rnacentral:rRNA from 1 species